GAGGGAACUUGCGGUAGGGAAGGCAGGGGAGGGGAAGAUGUGAGUGGGUUUGUACAUGCACUGCUGUGAGAUGAGAGGGUUUGCAUUAGUCAGGGUUCUGCAGAGAAACAGAGCCAAUAGGAUACACGUACAUAGGAAGAGAUUCGUAAGGAGACACUUCGUGCAAUUCUGGAGGCUGAGAAGUCCCACGAUCUGCUGUCCGCAAGCCGGACACCCAGGAAUGCUGGCAGUGCAAGUUCCAAGACCUGAGGGCCGGGAUCCAAUGGAGUGGACGCCAGUCAGAGUCUGAAUCCCUGAGAACCAGGAGUACCAACGGCCAGAGGGAACGGAUGUCUGCCUUGGGUCAGGCAGAGAGAAUCCAAACGCCCUCCACCUUUUUGUCCUGUUCCGGCUUCCACAGAUUGGACGAGGCCCACCCACCUUGGGGAGGGGCCAGCUGCUGUGUUCAGUCCGCCAUUGCAAACACGAAGCUCUUCCAGAAACGCCCUCACAGACACCCCGGAAGUCACGUACCCACUCUGUAGGUGCCCCGGGGCACAGGCAAGCGGACGAGCCAGUUAUCCCUCAGAGCUCCUGCUGCCUCGCCCGCUUUCUCUCGGAAACGUGAAGUGUGGCCUCAGCUGAAAGUGAGGUGGGCCUCAUUCAAUCAGUUGAAUUCUUCAAGAGAGAAAAACUGAAGUCCCUUAGAAGGAAAGAGUUCUGCCUUCAGACUGUCUUUGAACUUAAGACUGUAGCGUCGACUCCUGCCGGAAUUUCCAGCCUGCUGGCCAGCUCUGCAGAUUCACACUUGCCAGCCUCCACAAUCGUGUGAGCCAAUUCCUUAACUUCUCUUUCUCCGUGUAUCCCUUUGGUGCUGCCUCUCUGGGGAGCCCUGACUAAUAUGCAUGCAGAUGAUACGGUGCCUGGCAUUCUGAAUACAUGCACUAAAUCCACCACUUUUCCCCAUUUAUAGAUUUGGAUUAACACACUAACUUACUCAUAUCUGCAAGUAUAAAUAAAAAAAAUUGCUGGUGCCAAUUUCAAAGUUUUGCCAUGAGGUAGCUUGAAGGAAUGACAUUUUAAGGAAUUCGCUCAAGGCCGUAGGACAUGCGAUCAGGUUGUAAUGCCAAGCAACUCUUAUUGGGCCCUCUGCUCUGAUGCCCUUCACAUCUGCCACCUCAAUGGAUUAGAGCUCUCCCUGCAGACACCCCUAGCCCCAGCUCCUGCCUAUCGUUUCUUUAACGUGCUCAUCACGCUCCAACAUGUCAUGUAUUUACUGGCUAAGUUGCCUUUUUUUAUGUGUUUUCCUGGGAUAAAUGUCAGCUCACAGAACCUAGCACCUGGCACAUAGUAGAGGCUUAAUUCCAUAUCUGUUGGAAUUGAUGCAAAUAAAUGAAUUAUUGUCAAGAGGGAGGGAGGGAGAGAGAGAGAGAAAGAGAGAGAGAGCUGUAGCUCAGGGAGUCAAAGUGCAACAGAAUGAGUGAAUGAGUUUGGGGCUCCGUCAGACCAACUUCAAGUUCCACCUCAGUCACUUGCAAGGUCAUUUAGCCUCUCUGCAUCUUGUUCUUCACAUCUAGAGUGAGUAGUAUGACUUGGAGUUCAGUACUCACCUAGAAAAUGAAGAAAAGCACAGACCACAAGCCUGGUGUAUAGUCCACACUCAGUGUGAAGGGCAUGUAUUAUUUUUGUGGGAUCCCAUAGCACUCUGCUGGCACCCCGUUGAAAGUACCUUCCCUACCUUGGAGUCAUUUGUCUUAUAGGCACUUUUGUAUUUUGUUAAUAUUUACAGUUGUAUUAUAAGCCUCUCUUUUUCCCCAUUGAGCCUGCUGUGGUGCACUGCAGGCUGGUGCAUACAGAGUGCUCCGUGGAUGCUUGCUGAGUGCCUGUGUAAGAGGGUGGACCGAUGAUGGGUCUAGUGGGUUGCAUGGCUGGCUUUCUCCAUCCAUUUAUUUAGAUGUGCGUUGCCCUGUGUGGCAAUACUCUGAUGGUAGAUCUUAGGCAAAACUCAAUUUACAGAGGACCCAAGGGUCAAAAUCCAAGUCACAGCUGUACUUUGACACCAGUGAUAAGCGACUUAGAGCAGCAUACUACCCUUUACACAAUUUUCAAAGUCAUCAUUCAGUUUAGUCCCCAUGAGCUAGAUCUGAUCAUUAUUUCUAGGUGGUGAAGCAGUGAUGUACGGCUAUUUGGCAGUGAAUUAGAGUCCCAGGUCAGCUUGAGUGUGGCUGUGAGAGGAGCUGUGGCUCUGGGUGGCAUGUUCCCCUGCACCUUGGACGUCAUGCUCCUGGGGCAGAGGUAUGAAUGAAGGAAGGCGGACUUUCCUCUCUAGCCCAGAGCUAAGGAUGACUGCACUAUAGGGAAACUGUUGGGAGGGUGCUUGGUCUGAAGGUUUGUGUCCCUUGAAAUUCACAUGUUGAAACUAUAACCCCAAAGUGAUCAUAUGGGGUGGUGGUGGGGUUGGGAGGUGAUUAAGUCAUAAGGGUGGAGCCGUCAUGAAUGGGUUUGGCCCCCUUGUAAAAUAGACCCCAGAGAGCUCUCUAGCCCUUUUUCCACUAUGUGGAGACACAGCAAGAAGACAGCCAUCUAUCAGCCAGGAAGUGGGCCCUCUUCAGACACUGAAUCUUCUGGCACAUUAAUCUUAGACUUCCCAGCUUCCACAACUGUCAGAAAUAAAUGGUUGUUGUUUAAGCCACCAGUCUAUGGUAUUUUGUUAUAGCAUCCAGAACUGACUAAGACAGAGAGGAACAUAAAUUGAGCAGGAAAGGGAAUUGCUAUGAACUGACUGUGAGUGUCUCCCCCAAAAUUCAUAUGCUGAAGCUCUAAUUCCCAAGGUGAGAGUAUUUGGAGGAGGGGCCUUUGGGAGGUAAUCAGAUUUAGAUGAGGUCUUGAGGGUAGAGUCCCUAUGAUGGGUCCCCAUAAUGGGAUUAGUUUCCUUAUGAAAGGUGACAAGACCCUUUCUCUCUCCUUCAUGUGAGGACACAGCAGGAAGGCAGCCAUCUGUGAGCCAGAAAGUGAGCCCUCACCUGAUGGCCAAGCCUGCUGAUGCUUUGGUUUUGGACUUUCCAGCCUCCAGAAUGGUGAGAAGUGAAUUUCCGCUGUUUAAACUCCCCAGUUUGUAUUGUCUUAUUGUAGCAGACUCAACUGAUUAAGACAGGACUCUAGGGGAGAAGAAGAAAGAUGGCGCAGAUAAAAGUGAGGGAAGGAAGAAGGGAAAGCAGAUCUUCGGAAGAAAGAGGCCGUAAUUUUGGACACUGGAUGUUAACCUUAGAAGAGGAAGCCCUGGGACUGUGAAGCCACAGAGGCACUCUGACCCACUCUUUCUUUCGAAUAAUACUGGAAAAUCAUCUCACUUAAACUAGCAAUAAAAGCUUGUGACUAAAUGCAAAGUUAGUAUAAAAAAAGGAACAAUUAGCAUAAUAAUAUCCCUACAGACACUAAGGCACAACAGAAAGAUAUGGUCACAAUAAACCAAAAACUUUAAUCUUUCAAAAACAAUAUGUUGUUCUUUUACAAAUAACAGAAUUUGUGAAAGAAUAGCAUCUAUCAGAAUUAAAAUAACACAUAAAUAAGGUGACUGGAUAAGUAGAUGACAAAUAGAGCUCACAGAAUUUAGUAAAUGACUA
rnacentral:lncRNA from 1 species